rnacentral:rRNA from 1 species
GAUGAACGCGGCGGCGUGCCUAAUACAUGCAAGUAGAACGCUGAAGCUUGGUGCUUGCACCGAGCGGAUGAGUUGCGAACGGGUGAGUAACGCGUAGGUAACCUGCCUCUUAGCGGGGGAUAACUAUUGGAAACGAUAGCUAAUACCGCAUAAAAGUCGACAUUGCAUGAUGUUGACUUGAAAGGUGCAAUUGCAUCACUAAGAGAUGGACCUGCGUUGUAUUAGCUAGUUGGUGAGGUAACGGCUCACCAAGGCGACGAUACAUAGCCGACCUGAGAGGGUGAUCGGCCACACUGGGACUGAGACACGGCCCAGACUCCUACGGGAGGCAGCAGUAGGGAAUCUUCGGCAAUGGGGGCAACCCUGACCGAGCAACGCCGCGUGAGUGAAGAAGGUUUUCGGAUCGUAAAGCUCUGUUGUAAGAGAAGAACGAGUGUGAGAGUGGAAAGUUCACACUGUGACGGUAACUUACCAGAAAGGGACGGCUAACUACGUGCCAGCAGCCGCGGUAAUACGUAGGUCCCGAGCGUUAUCCGGAUUUAUUGGGCGUAAAGCGAGCGCAGGCGGUUAGAUAAGUCUGAAGUUAAAGGCUGUGGCUUAACCAUAGUACGCUUUGGAAACUGUUUAACUUGAGUGCAGAAGGGGAGAGUGGAAUUCCAUAUGUAGCGGUGAAAUGCGUAGAUAUAUGGAGGAACACCGGUGGCGAAAGCGGCUCUCUGGUCUGUAACUGACGCUGAGGCUCGAAAGCGUGGGGAGCAAACAGG